GACGAACGCUGGCGGCGUGCUUAACACAUGCAAGUCGAACGGAAAGGCCCUGCUUUUGUGGGGUGCUCGAGUGGCGAACGGGUGAGUAACACGUGAGUAACCUGCCCUUGACUUUGGGAUAACUUCAGGAAACUGGGGCUAAUACCGGAUAGGAGCUCCUGCUGCAUGGUGGGGGUUGGAAAGUUUCGGCGGUUGGGGAUGGACUCGCGGCGUAUCAGCUUGUUGGUGGGGUAGUGGCUUACCAAGGCGUUGACGGGUAGCCGGCCUGAGAGGGUGACCGGCGAGAUUGGGACUGAGAUACGGCCCAGAAUCCUACGGGAGGCAGCAGUGGGGAAUAUUGCACAAUGGGCGGAAGCCUGAUGCAGCAACGCCGCGUGCGGGAUGACGGCCUUCGGGUUGUAAACCGCUUUCGCCUGUGACGAAGCGUGAGUGACGGUAAUGGGUAAAGAAGCACCGGCUAACUACGUG
rnacentral:rRNA from 1 species